UGUGUCACUCCUUUAAUUAAUAAGCGACGCAAAUAAGUAAUGUGCAGCAUUACACUUUGAGUUAUUUGCGUCCCAUUUUAUUAGUUGAGUGACGCAAAUCACUCUUUUGCAUUUAGGUUUUUUUCGGAUUCCACUUGCUAGCUGCCUCCCUUUUACUAAAACAAAAAAACAGCACUACUCCUAUCUUCCAAGAACAGCGAUUUCCUACAGCUAAACACCCAGAAUUUCGAGCAAAAAAACCUCAGAAAUUCGAGCAAAAAAAACCCCAGAAAUUCGACCCAUACACCCCAAGAAAUUCGAGCAAAAUCAACCUGAAAUUCAAGGAAUUUCGACCCAAAAACCCCCAGAAAAUUGACCCAAAAACCCCAUGAAAUCGACCCAAAAACCCUAGAAAUUGAACCCAAAAACCCCCAUAAAUUCAACCCAAAAAACCCCCACAAAUUCAACAAUCAAACCGCAAUGUUGACAACAGCCAUAAUCGGAAAAAAUUCAGGUUUACAAACCCCCAUUUUCGAGCAAAACAACAAAAAAAAAAACCCUAAGAAACCCCAAGAAUUCGAGCAAAUUUGAUUAUGGGCAAAUACGAGCAAAUUCGAGCAAAAAAAGUGAGCAAAUUCGAGCAUUAAUUCGAGCAAUUUCGAGCAAAAAUAAUCGAAUUAAAACACCAGGAAUUCGUUGAGACAUUGAGCAAUCCUUCGCUAAAGGGCAAGGCAAUGGCGGUUGGCGGCAUGUCUAUGAUAUCUACUGCUAAUUAUGAGGUACAUCACAAAGUAAUUUAACAAUUGGGUGGACGUGAGUGUGGCUACUACGUCAUGUGUUAUAUGUACGAAAUACUUGAACAUCAUCAUAGCAGUGAGGAUCUUAUUAAGGAUUUUUCAAGAACUACACCAUAUACCGAGGAGGAGAUAAAUGAGAUUCGAGAUAUUUGGGCAGAGUAUUUUAUAUGUAAUGUUGAACUUUAGAUUUAUACUUAGCGCAUUUUGGACUCUUGUUUUGGAUUAUAGGCUUGACAUAAAUGAUUUUGGUUAAUUGGUGUUGGGAUGAUGAGUAAAAUGUAUAUGAUAUUGAGAUGUAUAUUUUAUUGGACAGGUUGUUAAUAUAAUGCCGUCAUUCCCAAUUUUAUGGGUAGGCCAAAA